GCCGCAGUGGUGAAAUUGGUAUACACGUACGCUUUAGGAGCGUAUACCGAAAGGUGUGGAGGUUCAAGUCCUCUCUGCGGCACAA
rnacentral:tRNA from 3 species